rnacentral:ncRNA from 1 species
UGGCAGCACGACGGGUGCUUAGCGUCGAGCUCUCCGUGUCUCUCGUUCCUGUAUCCCCAAUGCAGAUUGCCUGGCCUGUCCAGAGGUCACAACAACGGCCUGCUCAAGGGACUGGCACGAUAGACACCGAGAGCACGUCGCGAAGCUGAGAUAAUACCGUUAUGACUCGAUCAAGUUAAUGCUUGCGUGAGGAACGAGUGCUGCCUAUGUC